ACACAUGCAGUCGAGCGGUAACAGAUCCAGCUUGCUGGAUGCUGACGAGCGGCGGACGGGUGAGUAAUGCAUAGGAAUCUGCCCGAUAGUGGGGGAUAACCUGGGGAAACCCAGGCUAAUACCGCAUACGUCCUACGGGAGAAAGGGGGCUCCGGCUCCCGCUAUGGGAUGAGCCUAUGUCGGAUUAGCUAGUUGGUGAGGUAACGGCUCACCAAGGCCACGAUCCGUAGCUGGUCUGAGAGGAUGAUCAGCCACAUCGGGACUGAGACACGGCCCGAACUCCUACGGGAGGCAGCAGUGGGGAAUAUUGGACAAUGGGGGAAACCCUGAUCCAGCCAUGCCGCGUGUGUGAAGAAGGCCCUCGGGUUGUAAAGCACUUUCAGCGAGGAAGAACGCCUAGCGGUUAAUACCCGCUAGGAAAGACAUCACUCGCAGAAGAAGCACCGGCUAACUCCGUGCCAGCAGCCGCGGUAAUACGGAGGGUGCAAGCGUUAAUCGGAAUUACUGGGCGUAAAGCGCGCGUAGGUGGCUUGAUAAGCCGGUUGUGAAAGCCCCGGGCUCAACCUGGGAACGGCAUCCGGAACUGUCAAGCUAGAGUGCAGGAGAGGAAGGUAGAAUUCCCGGUGUAGCGGUGAAAUGCGUAGAGAUCGGGAGGAAUACCAGUGGCGAAGGCGGCCUUCUGGACUGACACUGACACUGAGGUGCGAAAGCGUGGGUAGCAAACAGGAUUAGAUACCCUGGUAGUCCACGCCGUAAACGAUGUCGACCAGCCGUUGGGUGCCUAGCGCACUUUGUGGCGAAGUUAACGCGAUAAGUCGACCGCCUGGGGAGUACGGCCGCAAGGUUAAAACUCAAAUGAAUUGACGGGGGCCCGCACAAGCGGUGGAGCAUGUGGUUUAAUUCGAUGCAACGCGAGAACCUUACCUACUCUUGA
rnacentral:rRNA from 1 species